rnacentral:lncRNA from 12 species
GUCGGUCCUAAGAGAUCUGUUACACCCAGCGGCCUGUUCCCUUUAAAUAGAAUCCACUUGAAAUGGCAAUGGGGUGUAUAUUUCACUCAGGGCAGAUAAACCUUGACAGUUGAGUUAGAGUACUAGAUUUUCUUAGAUGUUUCAGUGAAUUUACAAUGCUGAGUGCACUUGAAACCUAAAAUCAGAGAGAAUGGCACUGCUGCUCUAAUAAGACCUGGGGAAAUCAGUUUAUGCCUAAAGAGAAAAUACGUUGAGCAAACCAAGGAAGGCUCUGGCAUAAACUAGAGCUGGUGACAUGGGACAUCAAACUAAGCUGUGAUUACUUCAUCAGAGAUUACCUUUCUAGAGGAUUCUGAAAAGAUUUGAUAUAAGCUGCAGUUAUGAUUCUAACUGAAGUUAAGUCGUGAGCCUGGGAAGACAUUGAAAAGUUCAAAGGAACCUUGAAUUCUUGUGAAUCACAACUACAAUGCUGGAAUUCAUCUUGAAAAGACAAUGCAUUGUGUGUUUCAUACAUCAUCUAACACAGUGUUUGGGCUCUUAUUACAGGCUACAUGAUACUGAUGUUUAUUUUUGGAAUAGGCUUUCUUCUGAGAGAAGAGUUGCUUGAAAUCAUGCAGAUGUAUUUUAAGAAUGUACUCAAGAGAGGCACCCAAGAAGACAUUUUUGUAUGGAGAUGGGCAGAAAAUGAAGUGAGACUUGAACUUGGAGAGAAAACAAUGUCCUUUUCUUUUGAAGAGGAUCAGGAAGCUGAAAGAAGGAUUCCUGACAGUCAGGCUAAGCUGGACACCUCUAUGGAAACCUGCCAGGAGCUCUUCAAGAAUAAUGAAGUAGAGCCUAGAACCAUGGACUUUAAGAAUAGAUAAUAGCAGUUAUAAACUACUUUUUCUUUCUAUUUCCAUGUUCUCUAAGUUUUCCAAAUCUUAAAUCUUAUUAGAAGGUGCAGUCCUAUCUCUUUUGUGUUAUGGAAGAUAAGAGAACAUAAUGUCUCCUUCCAUCCAUUAAAGGUCAUUGAGGAGCAUUAAGAUGAUUACUUUUGGCUCCAAAUCCCAACUUCGUGUCUAUAUCACAAAGUUUGGCAGCAUGGAAGGCAGUAUCAGAGGGGAAAAAACUUGAGUUUAAUUUUUUUUUUUUUCUGGAAAAAACUGAGGCAGUUCCCAAGAAGUUAACAGAAAUAGCUGGGAAGCCAGUUUCUGAAAUUCAGGCGGCUCGGGACCUUGACAAAAUAAUUUGAUGGAAAACAGAUACACAAAGUCAUUCUAUAGACAUAGGAUAGUGAAGUUCAAGGACAAACAGCAUUAUUACACAGAAUCUAUUGUCUGAAGACAAUAGAUUUUUUUUUGGAAUUUUUUUGUAAUUCUGAAGCAUCCACUCUGUUAACUGUUCUUUUAGCUUCUUUGGCAUAGGGGAUGAACUAGAAAUCUUCCCUUGGCUUAGAGUAUAUAUUUAUUUCUAUAAGGGCGGAUUCAGAGAGCUUUUCCUUGUACCACUUUCUCCUUCACAAAGAUGUAUUUGGAAACCUCCCUGAGAAUUGGCAACAGUUCUUACGUUUCCUAAAAAUGUUCAAACUAUUGAACAUUCAAACUCACAUGCAAAUUUCCUCUUGGGGACAGUACUAGAAACCACAGAUUAUCUAGGAAAAAAUAAAUAACUCUAAAUUGAAAUUCCA